ACGCUCAUUCCCCUCACUCACCCACUCCCCCAAAUCCCUAGACCGCGGCGGCGACGCACCUCCCCCUCACCUGCGUCGGCGAUGCACCUCCCCCUCACCUGCGUUGGCGACUCAGCCGCGUCGCCGCCCUUCUCCCCAAGCGUCGCCUCCUCGCAUUCUCGUCCGCGCCGCCUCUUCCUCUCGCCCGCAUCCUCUGCAUCACGGUCGAGCCAAAGUUGGUUGUUUUAGCGAGGUCGAGUUGGAGCCUGACGAGCGCGGGCACGGCGGCCUUGUUCUGCUCGACGACGGCGGCGACGGACGCUGGCGCUCCUCGUCGCCAUUGACCUGCAAGGAGGAGCGUCGUGUUGGACGCUGCUGGUGCUCCAUCGCUUCUACGAGUUCCUCGUCACCUGCUCCUAGGUCGCCCCCGAAGUCGAGCUCCCCACGCUCGACCUGCAAGAUGUACUGUGGCCAAGAACUGCUCUCUGCCGCGUGAGUAGAUUGGAAAGGCAAGGCGCAAGAAGCGAUUGGAAAGGCUGCUGCUGCUCCUGGACGAUGCAGCUCCUGAUGCCACUACCUCUUGUCGAUUCGGGCAUGAGCACAUUCUUGGAGUGGAUCUGCAUUUCAAAUAGUUUACAAGUGGGAGUACAUGGAGUACUACAGAUUAAAUCGAGGAGAAGAUGGUCCCUGCUCCGUGAUGAUGCCGCCGUUACCUACGACUUCCUCAACCACCACCACCACGACUUCGUCGAACAUGGUGAGUACUGAGUACUCCUCCAAUGCUUGUACUCCUAUCAAUAUUUACUGUUGUAAUCAUGGGGUAGUUAGCUACUGUAACAUGUUUCCUAGUAGAAUGCCCGUGCGUUGCCACAGGCAUUUUAAAUAAUUAACUGGUUGCAUAUAUAAGCAUAAGACAUGUCAAAUUUUAAGCUAGGAA